ACCGGUGGCAAAAAUGGGCUACAAAAUUGGAGGGAAGCUGAAACAGAGUAAAAGGUACCGGUUCACAUCAAACCGGUGGCAAAAACAUAAAGGCCACCGGUUUGAACUGAUGCCCUUGAGAACCGGCCCUUAUAUUUAUUAAAAAAAAAAUCGGCUCCUUCUCCUCAUUCCCCAACCCCAAACCUAAUUCUUCAUUCCCUUUCUCUCGCCGUUUCUCUCUCCUCUCCUCCUCUUUCUCUCUCCUCUCCUCCUCCUUCCGUCUCCUGCACCCCUAACUCCUCCUUCUCUUUCUCUAUCUUUCUCUUUCUCGAUCUCCUUUUCCCUCACCUCCUUCUCCACCACGAAACUAAGAACAACACUUUCACCACCACGAAGUGCUCCUUCUUUCUUUGAUUCGAAGACCAAAACUUUCACCACCACGAAGUUCAUUUUAAUCGAAGACCACCACAUGCAACACCAUUUUAAUCGAAGACCACCACCAAUUCGAGGUAUAUUGACGCAAGAAUCAACAUGCAAGUUUAAUUGUGAUGUUGUAAUUUUUUUUUAUUUAUACUGUAAAUUUUUUUUUAUUUAUACUGUAAUUUUUUUUUUUUGGAUUUAUACUGUAAUUUUUUUUUUAUUUAUAUGUUGUAAUUGAUCUAUAUUGAUUGAUAUUCGAUUUACAUUUUGUGUUCUAUGUAUAUUAAUCUCUACAACUAGAUUCAUAUACUUUAAUACCAAAUACCCAAAUAAUUUUAUGUGUAACAAAAUACCAAUAAUGUAAAAAAAAA